UUGAGCCUACGGGGCGCAGCAGUGAGGAAUAUUGGUCAAUGGCCGAGAGGCUGAACCAGCCAAGUCGCGUGAGGGAUGACGGCCCUACGGGUUGUAAACCUCUUUUGUCGGGGAGCAAGACCCGCCACGAGUGGCGGAGCGAGAGUACCCGAAGAAAAAGCAUCGGCUAACUCCGUGCCAGCAGCCGCGGUAAUACGUAGGUGGCGAGCGUUAUCCGGAAUGAUUGGGCGUAAAGGGUGCGUAGGCGGCCUGCUAAGUCUGGAGGGAAAGGUACCGGCUCAACCGGUACAGGCUCUGGAAACUGG
rnacentral:rRNA from 1 species